rnacentral:rRNA from 1 species
AACGAAGGCUGGCGGCAUGCCUAACACAUGCAAGUCGAACGAGACCUUCGGGACUAGUGGCGCACGGGUGCGUAAAGCGGGGGAACCUGCCCUUAGGUUCGGAAUAACUCCCCGAAAGGGGUGCUAAUACCGGAUAAUGUCUUCGGACCAAAGAUUUAUCGCCUUUGGAUGGGCACGCGUUAGAUUCGCUAGUUGGUAGGGUAAAAGCUUACCAAGACGACGAUACAUAGCUGGUCUGAGAGGAUGAGCAGCCACACUGGGACUAGGACACGGCCCAGAAUCCUACGCGAUGCAGGAGUAGGGAAUACGGUACAACGGCCGAAGCUCUGAAACAGCGAUGACGCGUGAGUUAUGAAGGCCUUAGGGUUGUAAAGCUCUUUUAUCCGUGAAGAUAAUGACAGUACCGGGAGAAUAAGCACCGGCUAACUCCGUG